CGAGCCCAAGCUUAAAACCCAAAGGACUUGACGGUGUCCCAUCCCCCUAGAGGAGCCUGUUCUAUAAUCGAUUCUCCCCGAUUUACCCCACCAUCUCUUGAAUAUUCAGCCUGUAUACCUCCGUCAUAAGCUUACCGUGUGAGCGCAUUAGGUGAGCCUAAAGAUUUUACAUCCAUACGCCAGGUCAAGGUGCAGCCUACGAGCUGGGAAGAAAUGGGCUACAAUCUCUACCUUAGAACAAACAGAAGGUUAUAUGAAACACAGCCAUUGAAGGCGGAUUUAGUAGUAAAAAGAAAAUAGAGAGUUCUUUUUAAUUAGGCCCUGGGACGCGUACACACCGCCCGUCACCCUCUUCAAACAAUACAUCGACGUUAUUAACACCACACAAUCUUUUAGAAGAGGCAAGUCGUAACAUGGUAAGCGUACUGGAAAGUGCGCUUGGAACCAAAAUGUAAUUUAACAUAAACUAUCUUGCUUACACUAAGAAUAUGUCCGUGAAAUUCCGACCAUUUUGAGCCAAAACCACAGCCCCCACUCAAUCAAAUGACCUAAUCCUCAACAAUAAAAACUAAACAAAACAUUUUUCUAGCCCAGUAAAGGUGAUUAAAAAGUAUUUAGGAGCCACAACAUCAGUACCGCAAGGG
rnacentral:rRNA from 1 species